rnacentral:lncRNA from 1 species
UGUGUAAGCAGCACUCUGGUUUGGACUCCAUGCAGAAAAGAACUGGUAGGGUUACCAGCAUAGUAAGACCCUGACAUACCUGGUCAAUUCUUGGUUUGGAAUCCCUCCAGAAAGCAAACAUAUGUUGGAGCUACUCGAUAGUUACUGAUGACCUUUCUGUCAUUUAAAAUGAUGAAACAAUGAUAUAAAGCAAAAACAGGUCUCUUGGUUCUAGAUGACUUUAGAAAGGAAGCUACAACUUCCCCAGAGCUUCUACCAGAUACCAGAAAUCCAUGGAGAAAAACCGAAACCAUCCAGCAUUUCCAAAAAGAAAGUCAGCCCAGAGAGAGGAGAAAGCAGAUGUCUGUAUAGCACCAACCACAGCACAGCACAGAGGCCAGACACCAAAAAAAAAAAAAAAACCCAGCAGAAAAACAAACAAGGCAAAACCACUGCCUUAGGGACAGGUCUAAUGCAGUAUUCACACAAAUGAACUUUUUCUGCGAGACAGUUGACCUACAGAAGAAUAUCAUUAAUUUGCUUACAGAUAUUCUAUUCUACAAAUAUAUGGGUAUUUGUUGUAAGAUCAAUGCUUAUCAUGUACCUGAAAAUUUCAAAUGGUAUUUGUACAAUAUGUAACUUGCAAUUAUUUUAUUGGAAUUGUUCCAUGUUACCUAAAUUUAAUCAAAUAACAAAUUGUGCAGUUGGGAAUGUUAUAACAGUACAUCGGGUACUGUUCAAUUGCAGCAGAAAUUGUUUAUAUUAUCCAAAAUGUGUGUUAUGAUGUUGUGGUGCUAAUAUUCUAAUAGGAAAAGAAGACAAGAACCUUAAUGCUUACAAAGUGAAGAUGGGAUUGACUCUCCCCUUGCCUUUUAAAUUUAAUCAACCAAAAGUGAAGACACCCCUUCUUAACAUUAAGUAGGGGAGGUUCAUAAACCACUUACUAAAGUGAGUAACACCUCCAGAAGUGACUGACUGCCCUAUGGGCAGUGCUAAGCAAAUUUAAAGACUGCAAUUGGUCCCUGUAAAGUGAAGGAAGGGAUAGGAAGUGACAUAAAGAAAGGUCCAUAAAAAGGACCUAAACUUCCUUUUAGGGGGUCUUUGGUCUUCUGUAUUUGUCCUGAUUUUUGGGUUGAAGGAGCUUGGACUUGGACUGUGGCUCUUGGACUGCUCCUGGAUCUCCUCCCUUUGGACUUCAGCCUAGUGAGUGAAAAGCUGAUCUUCCUUUCCUGGCUUAUAGAGAGAUUAUUUCUGGAGAGGCCUCCCCUUCCUGGAGAAGGCCAUGUGGGUUGAACCCUUGCUUAAUUCACCACCAAGUUCUCUGGCUGAGGGAUUAACGGGCCCUGUGUGGGUUGAGCCAGGGACUAGAGCAUCAUUUAGGGUGAUAAGCUAGACUUCUUAUUUGACCCUCUUUCACAUUUCUCUACGUUCACUCUCUCCACCUUCUUUGUAAAUAAAAGCUGUUAAAAGUCAUUUUGACUUGGUCCA